UGGGGAAUUUUGCACAAUGGGGGAAACCCUGAUGCAGCGACGCCGCGUGAUUUAGAAGGCCUUCGGGUUGUAAAAAUCUUUUCUAUGGGAAGAAAAUGACAGUACCAUAGGAAUAAGGACCGGCUAAUUACGUGCCAGCAGCCGCGGUAAUACGUAAGGUCCGAGCGUUGUCCGGAAUCAUUGGGCGUAAAGGGUACGUAGGCGGGUAAGCAAGUUAGAAGUGAAAUCCUAUAGCUCAACUAUAGUAAGCUUUUAAAACUGCUCAUCUUGAGGUAUGGAAGGGAAAGUGGAAUUCCUAGUGUAGCGGUGAAAUGCGAAGAUAUUAGGAGGAAUACCGGUGGCGAAGGCGACUUUCUGGCCAUAACCUGACGCUGAGGUACGAAAGCGUGGGUAGCAAACAGG
rnacentral:rRNA from 1 species